rnacentral:lncRNA from 1 species
CCAUUGAGACACACAGGGACCCCAUAGGGACCCCAUAGGGACCCCAGAGCGACCCCAGAGGGACCCCAGAGCGACACACAGGGACCCCAUUGAGACCCCAUAGGGACCCCAGAGCGACCCCACUGAGAACCCAGAGGGACCCCAGAGGGACCCCAGAGCGACCCCAUAGGGACCCCAUUGAGACCCCAUAGGGACACAGGGACGCCAUAGAGACCCCAUAGGGACACAGGGACACACGGGGACCCCAUAGGGACACACAGGGACAGAGGGACACACAGGGACACAUAGAGACCCCAUAGAGACCCCAUAGGGACCCCAUUGGGACCCAUAGGGACACACGGGGACCCCAUUGAGACCCCAUAGGGACACAGGGACGCCAUAGAGACCCCAUAGGGACACAGGGACACACAGGGACCCCAUAGGGACCCCAUAGGGACACACAGGGACACAGGGACACACAGGGACCCCCCAGACCCAUAGGACCCCCCCCAGACCCCACAGAGCCCCCACCCCAACCCCCCCCGCCCCCACCUGCGCACGAAGUGCAUUUGGUUCCCGCACACCACGUCCAGCAGGAGGCGCUCGUAGGCAUCAGGGAGCUUCACCCCCUGCGGGGGCAACGGGGGGCAUUCAUUGGGGCCACUGGAGGCCACUGGGGGCCAUUGGGGGCCAUUGGAUGCCACUGGGGGUCAUUGGGGGCCACUGGGAGCCAUUGGAUACCAUUGGGAGCCAUUGGGACCCAUUCGGUGCCAUUGGGACCCAUUGGGUGCCAUUGGGGGCCAUUGGAUACCACUGGGGGCCAUCGGAGGCCAUUGGUAGCCAUUGGCUACCAUUGGGGACCAUCAGAUGCCAUUGGGGGCCAUCGGAUGCCACUGGGGGCCAUUGGCUGCCAUUGGGGGCCAUUGGAGGCCAUCGGAUGCCCUUAGGGGCCAUUGGCUGCCAUUGGGGGCCAUCAGAUGCCAUUGGGGGCCAUCGGCUGCCACUGGGGGCCAUUGGCUGCCAUCGGGGGCCGUCGGAUGCCCUUGGGGGCCAUCAGGAGCCAUCGGAUGUCAUUGGGACCCAUCGGAUGCCAUUGAGACCCAUUGAAUGCCACUGGGGGCCAUUGGAUGCCAUUGGGACCCAUUGGAUGCCAUUGGAUGCCCUUAGGGGCCAUUGGAUGCCAUUGGCUGCCAUUGGGAGCCAUCGGAUGCCCUUAGGGGCCAUUGGGGGCCAUUGGGAGCCAUCGGAUGCCCUUAGGGGCCAUUGGCUGCCAUUGGGACCCAUCAGAUGCCAUCGGACGCCCUUAGGGCCAUUGGCUGCCAUCGGGGGCCAUCGGAUGCCCUUAGGGGCCAUUGGCUGCCAUUGGGACCCAUUGGAUGCCAUCGGAUGCCCUUAGGGGCCAUCGGGGGCCACUGGGUGCUAUUGGGACCCAUCAGAUGCCAUCGGAUGCCCUUAGGGGCCAUU